rnacentral:lncRNA from 1 species
AAAUUUGCACAGUCAAAGCACACUUUUAGAGCUUCUGGUGAAAAGGUCGUGUAGAGUGAAAACAUAGCAACCAUAGAAAACGGUUUUUACUGUUUGGCUAAGUGUCACUGAUGUUGGGUAUAUUUUUAUAUGUUUUGAUGUUACUUUACCUAUGUUUUAACCGCUUUUUGUUGCUAUUUGGUGUUAAAAAUGCCCAACAUGGUUUAAUUAUUGGUUUUAUGACUAAUUGAGUUGUGUGUGAUGAUUUAGGGUGUUUGGAGUGCAAAAAUAUGAAGAAAAGAUGCUCCAACUAGAGGAGAAAAGGUUACUUGAUGCACCCCUUAGCAGUGAAGUCGGCCCAUAGCAUCUCCAUAGCAUCCGCACCUGGGCAAGGCUGAGAUGGAGGAACAAAGGGUAGGUGCAUGCGAAGCUGAGAAGCGGAGGACCCAACAUCAAUCCCUGAAGCUGAGUCGGACUAGGAAUAGGAGAACUUUAGCCCACGACUUUUGUACGCACUAUAUAAGCCAAAAACGCCUCUUUUAGGUGAUCUAACAUACUUUUUGAAGGG